rnacentral:miRNA from 14 species
GACAGACUCUGUCUAUGUCUGUCUGUGUCUGUCUGACUAUGUCUGUCUGUCUAUGAUACAGACAGACACAGACAGACUGAUACAGACAGACAGACUGA